GGCUCCAUGUCCGAGUGGUUAAGGAGACAGACUUGAAAUCUGUUGGACUUUGCCCGUGUAGGUUCCAACCCUGCUUUCGACA
rnacentral:tRNA from 1 species